rnacentral:lncRNA from 1 species
AGUUUUGGCCAAUGCAGAUACGAGGUCCCCAGCCAAAUGGGAAGAAUACAACUUGGCCCUUGGUUGCAUGUGAGACUCCAUCUGCAAACCUCUCUGGCUUAAAUUCCUUGACAUCCUCGCCCCAUAUUUCAGGGUCAUGAUGCAAUAAUAUUGUUGGUACGGUCAGUAGCUGUCCAGACGGGAAAGUUAGAUUUCCUAGUUUAGUUUCUUCAGCGACUGUUCGACCAAGAAUAGGAAAUGGUGGGUAUAGCCUUAAAACCUCAUGUAAGAUCAUUGUAACCUGUGAUAAAUCAAAGAGACUGAUUAGAUUUAGAGCUACAUGAGAAGCCUCGGUUUAUCAGUAAUUCAAGAACAUUUUGGAUUAAGAGUUCUUUUUUAGCUAGGUACAGUUUGUCAUGGCAUUGGGUACAUAAUUGACUUACAAUCCUCAGGCGAUUUAGUCCAUCAAAAUCUGGUAUGUUUGUCCCAAAAUGUUGCAAAACCUCUUCUCUAGCAUGUUCUUGCCAGUCCGGAUACAUGCUCAAUAAGAUCAUUGUCCAAACGAGCAGCACAGCAGUCGUCUCCUGCCCAGCAAAAUAGAACAGCUUGCACUCUUCAACGAUUUCUUUUGUAGUCAUGCCAAAUUCUUUGUCAGUUUCUUGAGAACUGGAUUCAAGUAAUAAACUCAACAUGUCAUCAUCACUGGCUUCCCCUGUUCGCAGUGCAUUUAGUCUAGUCCUGAUAAUUUCCCCAAUUGAAUCAUUAACUUCUUUCGCGAUUUGUUUCAUUCUUCUGUUCCUUUUAGUUGGCAGGAACCUGUGAAACAUAAUCACGUUAGCAAAGUGCCACAAAGGAAAAAAAAAAUCUUUGUUUAAAAUGCUUUUUUGCAUUUCAUUUUCUCGAAAUAUUAUUAUAACACGUUUUUCACUCGCUUUUUCACACAUAAACUAUUUGGAACAUUUAUAGGAUAAAUUUCGUAUGCACUAUCAGUGUAUACACAAGUAGAGCUUAAUGCAUAACAUAUAUACAAAACAUAACAUUCAAAUGUAAAUUGUGAUUAGUUAUAAUAGACUGGUAGAUUGUAGUUAAACAAGUUUAUCAUAUUGGGCAGUGAGCAUGUGAUACGUGUAUAAAUAACUAAAUUUACCAAGUAUUCAGAAUUUGUUUACCAAACCCAAAAAAAAAAAAAUAUUCUUACAUUGACGAUGUAUGCACGAACUGAUUUAGAUGUAUAAUAAAUAUGUAAAACUUAGAAAUGAGAUUUAUAUUUUGCACAUAUGUCAUGUACUUAAACUCGCUAAUAUAUACUCAGUAAAUGUAAAAAAGAUUAAUCCAACACAAUACUUCUAAACUACUUUACCUCAACCCGGGAAUAUACAUGGACUGUACAGCCUUGACCAAAUGUUGGGCUUGUUCUGUCUGCAAUUCAAAGAUCCUUCUUCCCUUUUCAUAUUUGCUGCCAAAUGCUGUCCUUGAAAUUGCAUCACCUGUCAUAGUCUGAAGAUGGGGCCAAACAUCCAACUCAAUUGACCCUUUUGCGGAAAUACCCUCCUCCCAUUUGCUCAACAUCUCACUUGCACUUGUGUAAAAUGCUGGUACCAUAAGCUAUAUCCCAAAAAAGGAAAAAAGAAAGACAGAAGAGUGAAUAAAAAAGAAAAAACUCCAUCAGUAUAUAUACUUCCUAAUUUUAGGAAUCGUUAGUUUUUUAUUUUCUCAAUAAUUAUUUUUUCCAGUAAACAAAUACGUAGGAGAAAAUAAGAAGAAACCUUCAACUUCUCCAUGUGGAAAGCUUGGUUGAGGAGCUUUCUGUGUUUGGCCCAUUUGUCCCCUUCAUAGACCAGUGUCCCUUGGGCGAGCAAUUUGGAAAGUGGGUGGAAUUGAGGCUUUUGAAAAAUUUCCAUCUUUUGUGUAACUUUCCUUGUGAGUUCUGGAUCCAUGAUUACCAUCGUUGGUUUUGGCCCAAACCAUAAAUAGGCAUUCUUUCCUACAAAUCCAAAUAUAUAUCACACAAAUCAACUGAAAUUCAAAGUAACAAUCCGUACUAAUUAUGUUAAGAGUAAUUGACUAAUGGGGUAAAUAUAGUUUAGGCAUAUGGGGUGCAUAUGGGUGGUCCAAAACUUGACCCUGAGGUCCCUAAUCUGACUCAAGAUUGUAGAAUCGUACGAUAAUUUAAAAUUAAUUUUCGAUCCUACUAACAAUCUGGAUCGUUAGCUUUGAUCCGAAUUAUAGGAUCGUACCAAUCAUACGAUAUCCACAUCGUGAUCCUAACAACUAUGAUCCGACUCUCAAACAUUCACCUUUCCCAUUAAUAAGUAAUGAAGUCUGUCAUGAACCAAAAGACAACAAAAAAAAAAAGGGGAACUCUAGGGUGCAACUCAAGCGACAUUUUUAUGUGGGGUGCAGUCUAAAAUUUCUAUUUAAAGGAAAUGUGAAUUCUCCAUUAGCAGAGGAGUACACCAACUUACCAUACUUAUUAACAGUUCCUAGAAAAUGAGGUAUAACUCUUGGUACGAUGUCGUCUGAGAGACUGAUAGGCUUGGAGUAGGCUUCUUGGAACAGGGUUCCUAUCUCUUUGAAGUCUCCAUAGAACAGCUUGUAAGGGUUCCCUUUAAAACCCUGUUGUUUGAGAUGCUUCUCAAGCUUUCUGGGUUUAAACCAUACCCAGCUCAACACUUUCCAUGCCAAUACUGAGAGAACAAGACAAGAAGAAACAAGUACAAUCAUGAAGCUGUGGGUUGUUUUCAUUUUGAAUUUUUUGGUAAUGUGUUUUGUGUUAAUUGUCAACCUUCUUAUCUCCAUACACACACACACACACACACACAUUUAUACAGGGUGCUUGGGGUGAUCAGGAUUAUUUUAGUCAUUGUACAAUUAAAUAUAGCAGCUGAUACGUUUACUUGGAGAGGAAGAUGUCUUAAGAAAAUGGAACAAAAGUUGAAAAAAUUGGCUGUUUCUGCAUAACAAGGCAGACCGGCCAAUCGAGUUCUAGUAUUCCUAAUAUCAUAUGAAUAAGUGGAUGAGGUCAGUGAAGGUGACAAGUCAAGCAAAUAUGACCCUUAAUUGGUAUUUAGCAGUAUGUAACUUAACAUGAGAGACGAAGGAACGUCCAUAUAGUACUACUACUAUAAGAUCUCAAGGCUGAAAAAUUGCUUAACUCAGAAGGAUGGAAAACUGGAAAGAGUCAAUUCCUAUCUCUUGUCAUCAUGAUACGAAUAAGGAUUAAAAAUUUGGGAAAGGAUUAAAGGAGCCAGCACUAACCAAAGCCUCUGAGAUGGUAGCAAUUGACCUGGAGUUCAUUUAAUCAUCAACGGGCAUAGACCUCCUUUUUUAGUUUUGGUAGUGUAAGUGUUUUAUUUACCGACCUCCUUUUUCUCCAUGCGUAUUUGUAAUGGCUGUGGCCGUCCGGAGAUCAUCAAGUUAUUAUAAUUGUUUACUGCAAUCACAAGCUGGUCCAUUUUUUUCGGGACAAGAGAUAAAGAGGAAAAAAAAAAACAAGAACCAAGAAGAGUUCAUUUAUCACGUUAAAGAACGAAGAAAACUCGGAAAGUAUUUGUUUAGCAUGGCAAGGGUGACCAAAAAAUUUUUUUGAUAAAGGAUCUUCUAUAACACAAGUCUCUAUUACAUCCGUGUUAUAGUCUUUGGUUCGUAUAAAUUUUGCAAUAUUUGGUGUAUCUCUUUAUUGGGUUAGUAUACGCCGAGACUUGCACCAAAAAUGUGCAAGACUUGGCACGUACACUAACAAAACACAAUUUAAUGUAAAUUUUGAUGUCAUCAAGCUAUGUAACAAGUAAUUGAGAUCCUCGAUAUCACUUUUUUCAAUGAUAAUUCUUAAAAUUAUGUCAAAUAUUUAGUUAAUUUAAUUUAUUAUGAAAUCUGAUUUUAAUUUAAAUUAACUAAACACUUAGGAUUGGUUGAAGGAGUGAUACCAAAUUGCCACCGAUUAAUUGGCAUCGAAUUUUUUUUUUUUAAAUCUGGAACAUAUACUAAAUCGAAUCAUUUCUUAAUUUCUUAAUUUCUUAUACUAAAUUAAUUUCUUAAUUCGAAUCAUUUUGAACUCGAGCGGAUACACCAAAUCAAAGAAAUACAUCGCGGCUCCACAUAACGCACCCUAAAUGAGUUACGGGAGUUCAAGUCCAGGAUAAGAGUUACGGGAGUUCAAUUCCAGACUCGAACCAAAUAAGUCAUUAAGAGUUCAGUUAUCACUGGAGUAUUCCGUGGGGACCCAAAUUGCUUAUUUGGAGUAACAAGAACUUGAAAGACCAACUGCAUACGUUGGGUUGCGCCUAACGUGUGUGGUACUAAUUCUUCGGGAGUUCCCAUGCCAUGUGUCAUGCCACGUUGGAUGCCUUGUUAGUGAGUGGGUCCCAUUUCAUUGAUGUUAGAGUGGCGUGUGGCACCCACACUAAUAGAUCCACACACACGUCGGCCAUGAUUUGACAAGAAAAUGUAAAAUUCAUAUAAUAAUUUAUAUAUCGAUUUCAACACCACAUACGAGAUUCAUAAAAUUUUAUUUUAUAAUUAAAAAUUUAAAAGUGAAUAACAUUCCAGACAAUGAAAUUACAUUCUAUUAAAUUGGACAAAAAUUAUCCGGAACAGUUUUUUUUAUGACUAUCCGGGCUCUUGGUCCGAUCGAUAUUGUGUGACUGGGACAAUGGAUAAUUAAGAUGUUUUACAAAAUAUCAAAUGUUUUUAAAUUGGUAGUAUGAACCAUUCUGAAUUCCCUAUUCAUGAACUAGUUCAACUUACGUUCGAGUUUUGAAUUACCAAACUUCCCUAAAUCUUGAGUUAUUAAAAAGAAAAAGAAGAGAAGAGAAAAAAAUGAAAGAAAUUUUAAUGUUGUUUGGAAGCCAAAAGAUCUUAGUCUAAUGAUUAAAAUUUUUAAAUUUCAAGAUUUAGAGAUCUUGAGUUCCAAAACCUUUCCCGCUUCUCAAAUCUGGUCCCUUCCCUACUAAAAAUUUUUUUUUUAAAAAAUGUUGUUUAGGAGUUUAGGAAAAAGUAAGAUAAUUUUAGAUAUCAAUGUCAAUAAAAUUUUUUCUAGCGGACAUUUAAAGAUAAAAUUAAUAUGUUAAAAAGCUUUUUUAAGUUUCGUCAAGCUUUCCUUAUCUUUCGACCGAAUUUUUUUUUUUUUUUUUGAAGUGAGUAUUUCUUCUUCUUUAAAAAAAAAAAAAAAAAAAAAAAAACUUUAGCACCAACGCUAUCCGUCAAAUCAACCGCUUCAAUUUCCUUUCUGUCCUAUAUAUCUCUCCCUAUUCUUUCUUUUUUGGCCAAAUUUCCAACUCCCAAACUAAGCCUGAAUUCAUUCUAAAGUGGUUUAUAUAUUGUGGUGCAUAAAAAAAAACGAUAAAGAAAUACCAAGGCUAUGAUUUCUUGAAGCAUAGAAAAUUAGGAUAUUAUUGUCAUACAUACAACCUCCACCGAGUUUCUAAGUUCCACACAUAAAAUGGUCUGAUUCCAAACCUGAAUGAAAUUGUGAAUCAUGUCCUCCAAGUUCUAAUUAAUCAGGAGGAACCAUCACAAGUAAAAAUAGACUACAGCUUGUGCAACAUCAAGUGAGCCCCGAACUGGGGUUGAAUUGCUAUGGUUAGGUGAGGGGCAUGAGAAUAAGAUGGCGAAAGUUCAAACGAGAAGCGCUGCAGAAUCAUAGCUAGUGCCAAUUUUGCUUCCAACAUAGCAAAGUUUUGGCCAAUGCAGAUACGAGGUCCCCAGCCAAAUGGGAAGUAUACAAUUUGGCCCUUUGUUGCACUUGAGACUCCAUCAGCGAACCUCUCUGGCUUAAAUUCCUUGACAUCCUCGCCCCAUAUUUCAGGGUCGUGAUGCAAUAAUAUCAUUGGUAGUGUCAGUAGCUGUCCAGCAGGGAUAGUUAGAUUUCCUAUUUUAGUUUCUUCUGCAACUGAUCGACCUAUAUUAGGAAAUGGUGGGUAUAGCCUUAAAACCUCAU